rnacentral:lncRNA from 1 species
AAACAAACAUUAAUAAUAUAUGAUUAAGUACUCGACGUGACUUAAAGAGAAUCUCAUGAGAUUCGUUUUUUUGGACAACUCUUAUAUUCAGCUUUGGAUCCGAAAUCAAACAUAGCCCUCGUAACCCCACACAAAUGAUAAUAGGAUAACAUGGAUUCCACAAACUUUUUUUUUUUUUUUUUUUUGUCAUCUGGUAAUAUUAAUAAAACAAGGUGAGAUACAACGAAAGCCGGCGGAAGACAAAAAUUUCCCCGGAGUCUAAAAACCCAAACAAGGGAAACAAAAGUCGGCGGAUAACUAGAAAUCCCCGAAGACAAAGCGAAUUCAAGAGAAAAGGAAACAAGCAUA